CAGCCAAAAAAGCUGAAAGAGCCAAAAGUCCAAAAACGGGUAAGUGAACAACGAGCUUCGGAGGAGCCAGGAAACAUCUGGAGAUGUUGUUUGUUUACCGGCUCGUUUCUCUUCAGCAGAGACGGACAACACAAACCGGGCCGAGGCUCCAGAAUCUGAAGGUACUGUUUCAAACAGAGCACAGUUCAGAAUCAUCAAUUUCUUUCCUCUAAAACCUGAACUUGUCCCUCUGGUGCGACCCCACUCGGACCCCCAUCUCAGUGGGCCCCUGCAGACCGGCACCGGUCUACUGCCCGUCUCCGCCCGGUUGGUACGGUAAGUAGCAGAUUCUGCUGGGGAAAUCUGUCUGGGAAGUGCAGAGAGGCUGAUCCAAUUCACCUGUUCCAGUUCACCACGUGGUCACAGACACCCCCUACCCUCCCCCGACCAUGCCAGGUACCCACAGACCCCCAGUGACACCACACACCUACAUGUCUGGUUCUGAGAUGUUCCUUUCUUCAGCUCCGUCAGCUCCGGUUCUGACCGCUCAUCCCGUCCAUCCCGGAGCGCCGCCCCAGCAGAAUCUUUAUCAGCAGCAUCUUCCACCUCUGCUGCACCCGUUCUACACACAGUACCAGUAUCAGCCGCCAGUGCAGCCAGUCAUGCAGCCACAACCAGAACCAGUCCAGCCUCAGGUGCCUCCACAGCCGGAACCAGUCACACAGCCACAACAAGAACCAGUCCAGCCUCCAUUGCAGCCACAACCAGAACCAGUGACGCAGCCACAACCGGAACCAGUGACGCAGCCACAACCGGAACCAGUGACGGAACCACAACCAGAACCAAUACAGCCAGUUCCAAUAGUGGAGGAAGAUCCGGCAGCAGUCACAGAGAAGGAGGUUCUGGGCCGGGCUGCAGCUGGACCUGCUGCAGCUCCAAUGCAGGAACCAGGAGGGGGUGAGGGGGGGCUGAAGCCCGCUGCCACCAACAAAGCUGCAAAGAAAAAGAUCAAAGCAGCAGCUCCAAUCAAAGGUACAGCCUGUUUCUAUGGAAACAGUCAGCAAACAACAGUGAUUUAUAAACACUGA
ensembl:lncRNA